rnacentral:rRNA from 1 species
CAGCAGUGGGGAAUAUUGGACAAUGGGCGCAAGCCUGAUCCAGCCAUGCCGCGUGUGUGAAGAAGGCCUUUUGGUUGUAAAGCACUUUAAGCGAGGAGGAGGCUACCGAGAUUAAUACUCUUGGAUAGUGGACGUUACUCGCAGAAUAAGCACCGGCUAACUCUGUGCCAGCAGCCGCGGUAAUACAGAGGGUGCGAGCGUUAAUCGGAUUUACUGGGCGUAAAGCGUGCGUAGGCGGCUUUUUAAGUCGGAUGUGAAAUCCCUGAGCUUAACUUAGGAAUUGCAUUCGAUACUGGAAAGCUAGAGUAUGGGAGAGGAUGGUAGAAUUCCAGGUGUAGCGGUGAAAUGCGUAGAGAUCUGGAGGAAUACCGAUGGCGAAGGCAGCCAUCUGGCCUAAUACUGACGCUGAGGUACGAAAGCAUGGGGAGCAAACAGGAUUAGA